AAUAGUUCUGCAAUGAAUGUGUGCAUGCAUGUGUCUUUAUAACAGAAUGAUUUUACAUUCCUUUAGGUAUAUAGUAAUGGUAUUGCUGAGUCAGACGGUUUUUGUCUUAGAAGACCCCAUCUCUUAAAAAAAAGAAACAAUUAUUAAACAAAAAAAUCAAACUCUAAUAUCACACAAAAGAAUGCAAUAUGACACUUCUGAAUGUCACAAAUUUUUCAUUUCAUGUCUUGGGCUUAAGUGCAGUGCAGGCAAUAUUUCAGUGGUCUUUAACUUUGUCUGCAUAUUAGAAUCACCCAAAAAACGUUUUAUCUUGAUCCAGUCAAAUACUUUAAAUUACUGGGUGUAGGCCUAGGUAUUUACUUUGAAGGCUCCCCCAGUGAUUUUUCAAGUGCAGUGAGGGUUGGGAAUCAGUACAAUACUACCUAGUGCUGCUACUAUUCUCCAACACAAGUAUGUAAUAUUCGAAUUAGCCAACAAUUAUCCUUCUUGAUAGUAAUAUAAACAACCCUCACUUACAAAUAUUCUCAUUAAUUUUUUUCUAUGCUACAGACUUUGGUUGGUAUGUGAUCUUUGCCAACUAUAACUAAUGAGUUAGAAAGAGAUGUGGGUUCUGGUCCUGAUCUGUCCGUUUAUGAACCUAUUCUAAUUACUCCCACCAGCUAGGCCUGAGUCAUUACCUAUGAAAUGCUGGUAUUGGAUUAAAUAUCUAAGACCUUUCCUAACACUGUAACAUUAUAACCAGGAUGUUUUACAAAUUAAAAAUGAGUAAAAUUUUUACUUAUUAUUCAAAUUUAUCCAGUUUAGUUCCAGUAGUUGUGACUAUUCUCAAUAGCCAUAGGAAUCACGCUAAAUUCCAUGAAGGUACACAGAAUGUAUUUCCUCAUUAGGAACAAUAUUCAAAGUUACUGUGAAUGGCACAAGAUGCUGAUGAAAUGCCAAAGCAACCACAUUUUUUCAGACCUGAUGCUACUGUAGCAACAGACAUUCAUGGGGGAAAUGCACUUAGUGAAUAAUUGUAAUUAAAGUAUCAAUUUAAAAACUUA